CGCUUGUGACCGCUGGAAACUACAUAGUGCUCCUUUAAGAAGUGUAUAUUUUCAGCAGGGUGCCAUCUUGUUGAGAGGCUAGGCACCCGUGGAAAGGUCCCUUCACUUUUAUGCAUGGCUACAUCCACACUACCACGUUUUUCAAGAAUACCAGGGAUGUUUUCCCACGGACCGACAACGAGGUGGAACUGUUACAGAGACCAUAAAGCGACUGUGGUGGUGGAGGACAGACUCUGAGUCAUCGCAAAGAAAAUACGGCGACAUUCACAGUAAAAGUGUGUAAGUGUUAUUUGCAUAGUACAAAAUAUUUUAAUAAAAUACAAUAGCAUAAACA